rnacentral:rRNA from 1 species
AGUCGAGCGGUAGAGAGAAGCUUGCUUCUCUUGAGAGCGGCGGACGGGCGAGUAAAGCCUAGGAAUCUGCCUGGUAGUGGGGGAUAACGUUCGGAAACGGACGCUAAUACCGCAUACGUCCUACGGGAGAAAGCAGGGGACCUUCGGGCCUUGCGCUAUCAGAUGAGCCUAGGUCGGAUUAGCUAGUUGGUGAGGUAAUGGCUCACCAAGGCGACGAUCCGUAACUGGUCUGAGAGGAUGAUCAGUCACACUGGAACUGAGACACGGUCCAGACUCCUACGGGAGGCAGCAGUGGGGAAUAUUGGACAAUGGGCGAAAGCCUGAUCCAGCCAUGCCGCGUGUGUGAAGAAGGUCUUCGGAUUGUAAAGCACUUUAAGUUGGGAGGAAGGGCAUUAACCUAAUACGUUAGUGUUUUGACGUUACCGACAGAAUAAGCACCGGCUAACUCUGUGCCAGCAGCCGCGGUAAUACAGAGGGUGCAAGCGUUAAUCGGAAUUACUGGGCGUAAAGCGCGCGUAGGUGGUUUGUUAAGUUGGAUGUGAAAUCCCCGGGCUCAACCUGGGAACUGCAUUCAAAACUGACUGACUAGAGUAUGGUAGAGGGUGGUGGAAUUUCCUGUGUAGCGGUGAAAUGCGUAGAUAUAGGAAGGAACACCAGUGGCGAAGGCGACCACCUGGACUAAUACUGACACUGAGGUGCGAAAGCGUGGGGAGCAAACAGGAUUAGAUACCCUGGUAGUCCACGCCGUAAACGAUGUCAACUAGCCGUUGGGAGCCUUGAGCUCUUAGUGGCGCAGCUAACGCAUUAAGUUGACCGCCUGGGGAGUACGGC